AGAGUUUGAUCAUGGCUCAGGACGAACGCUGGCGGCGUGCCUAAUGCAUGCAAGUCGCACGCAGACACUUCGGUGUUUGAGUGGCGCACGGCUGAGGAACACGUGGGAACCUGCCCGCUUGUGGGGGAUAACCCGCCGAAAGGCGAGCUAAUCCCGCAUACGCCCUUCGGGGGAAAGCCGCAAGGCGCAGGCGGAGGGGCCCGCGGCCCAUCAGGUUGUUGGCGGGGUAACGGCCCACCAAGCCACUGACGGGUAGCUGGUCUGUGAGGACAACCAGCCAGACUGGGACUGAGACACGGCCCAGACUCCUACGGGAGGCAGCAGCAAGGAAUUUUCGGCAAUGGGGGCAACCCUGACCGAGCAACGCCGCGUGGAGGAUGACGGCCUUCGGGUUGUAAACUCCUUUUCGGGAGGAAGAUAACGACGGUACUCCCGGAAUCAGGCUCGGCUAACUCUGUGCCAGCAGCCGCGGUAAGACAGAGGAGCCAAGCGUUGUCCGGAUUGACUGGGCGUAAAGCGCACGCAGGCGGCGGCGCGCGUGGGGUGUGAAAUCGCUCGGCUUAACCGAGCGCAGCCACCUCAUACGGCGUCGCUCGAGCCC
rnacentral:rRNA from 1 species